ACGCUGGCGGCGUGCCUAAUACAUGCAAGUCGAACGAUGAAGCUUCUAGCUUGCUAGAAUGCUGAUUAGUGGCGCACGGGUGAGUAACGCAUAGGUCAUGUGCCUCUUAGUUUGGGAUAGCCAUUGGAAACGAUGAUUAAUACCAGAUACUCCCUACGGGGGAAAGAUUUAUCGCUAAGAGAUCAGCCUAUGUCCUAUCAGCUUGUUGGUAAGGUAAUGGCUUACCAAGGCUAUGACGGGUAUCCGGCCUGAGAGGGUGAACGGACACACUGGAACUGAGACACGGUCCAGACUCCUACGGGAGGCAGCAGUAGGGAAUAUUGCUCAAUGGGGGAAACCCUGAAGCAGCAACGCCGCGUGGAGGAUGAAGGUUUUAGGAUUGUAAACUCCUUUUGUUAGAGAAGAUAAUGACGGUAUCUAACGAAUAAGCACCGGCUAACUCCGUGCCAGCAGCCGCGGUAAUACGGAGGGUGCAAGCGUUACUCGGAAUCACUGGGCGUAAAGAGCGCGUAGGCGGGAUAGUCAGUCAGGUGUGAAAUCCUAUGGCUUAACCAUAGAACUGCAUUUGAAACUACUAUUCUAGAGUGUGGGAGAGGUAGGUGGAAUUCUUGGUGUAGGGGUAAAAUCCGUAGAGAUCAAGAGGAAUACUCAUUGCGAAGGCGACCUGCUGGAACAUUACUGACGCUGAUUGCGCGAAAGCGUGGGGAGCAAACAGGAUUAGAUACCCUGGUAGUCCACGCCCUAAACGAUGGAUGCUAGUUGUUGGAGGGCUUAGUCUCUCCAGUAAUGCAGCUAACGCAUUAAGCAUCCCGCCUGGGGAGUACGGUCGCAAGAUUAAAACUCAAAGGAAUAGACGGGGACCCGCACAAGCGGUGGAGCAUGUGGUUUAAUUCGAAGCUACACGAAGAACCUUACCUAGGCUUGACAUUGAGAGAAUCCGCUAGAAAUAGUGGAGUGUCUGGCUUGCCAGACCUUGAAAACAGGUGCUGCACGGCUGUCGUCAGCUCGUGUCGUGAGAUGUUGGGUUAAGUCCCGCAACGAGCGCAACCCCCUUUCUUAGUUGCUAACAGGUCAUGCUGAGAACUCUAAGGAUACUGCCUCCGUAAGGAGGAGGAAGGUGGGGACGACGUCAAGUCAUCAUGGCCCUUACGCCUAGGGCUACACACGUGCUACAAUGGGGUGCACAAAGAGAAGCAAUACUGCGAAGUGGAGCCAAUCUUCAAAACACCUCUCAGUUCGGAUUGUAGGCUGCAACUCGCCUGCAUGAAGCUGGAAUCGCUAGUAAUCGCAAAUCAGCCAUGUUGCGGUGAAUACGUUCCCGGGUCUUGUACUCACCGCCCGUCACACCAUGGGAGUUGUGUUUGCCUUAAGUCAGGAUGCUAA
rnacentral:rRNA from 1 species